UCAGCACGGAAGAAGCGAAAGUGACGGUACGUGCAGAAGAAGCGCCGGCUAACUACGUGCCAGCAGCCGCGGUAAUACGUAGGGCGCAAGCGUUGUCCGGAAUUAUUGGGCGUAAAGAGCUCGUAGGCGGUUUGUCGCGUCUGCUGUGAAAGCCCGGGGCUUAACCCCGUGGUGUGCAGUGGGUACGGGCAGACUAGAGUGCAGUAGGGGAGACUGGAAUUCCUGGUGUAGCGGUGAAAUGCGCAGAUAUCAGGAGGAACACCGAUGGCGAAGGCAGGUCUCUGGGCUGUUACUGACGCUGAGGAGCGAAAGCAUGGGGAGCGAACAGGAUUAGAUACCCUGGUAGUCCAUGCCGUAAACGUUGGGCACUAGGUGUGGGGGACAUUCCACGUUUUCCGCGCCGUAGCUAACGCAUUAAGUGCCCCGCCUGGGGAGUACGGCCGCAAGGCUAAAACUCAAAGGAAUUGACGGGGGCCCGCACCAGCGGCGGAGCAUGCGGAUUAAUUCGAUGCAACGCGAAGAACCUUACCAAGGCUUGACAUACACCAGACCGGUCCAGAGAUGGUCCUUCCCCUUUGGGGUUGGUGUACAGGUGGUGCAUGGUUGUCGUCAGCUCGUGUCGUGAGAUGUUGGGUUAAGUCCCGCAACGAGCGCAACCCUCGUUCUAUGUUGCCAGCACGUGAUGGUGGGGACUCAUAGGAGACUGCCGGGGUCAACUCGGAGGAAGGUGGGGAUGACGUCAAAUCAUCAUGCCCCUUAUGUCUUGGGCUUCACGCAUGCUACAAUGGCCGGUACAAUGGGUUGCGAUACCGUGAGGUGGAGCUAAUCCCAAAAAGCUGGUCUCAGUUCGGAUCGUGGUCUGCAACUCGACCACGUGAAGUCGGAGUCGCUAGUAAUCGCAGAUCAGCAACGCUGCGGUGAAUACGUUCCCGGGCCUUGUACACACCGCCCGUCAAGUCACGAAAGUUGGUAACACCCGAAGCCGGUGGCCUAACCCUU
rnacentral:rRNA from 1 species